rnacentral:misc_RNA from 1 species
GUAGGUGAACCUGCGGAAGGAUCAUUAACGAGAUAGGGUCCCUGUGGCCCGAACCUCCAACCCCCUGAGUACCUACCACUGUUGCUUUGGCAUGGCAUGCGCUCCCCUUGGGGGGUGCCGUCCUCGACGUGCUCGUCUGUGCCUGCCGGAGUCACCAACCAACUCCUUUAACAAUGAAGUCUGAGUAAAAAUUAAUAGCUAAAAACUUUCAACAACGGAUCUCUUGGUUCUG